AGGGUGUAAACGCUGCAGACUUGGUGUUGGAUGCCCUUUGGGGGCAUUCAGUGCCGGAGAGAAGUUGUUAAGUCUGCUACUUGGGAGUACGUCCGCAAGGAUGAAACUUAAAGGAAUUGGCGGGGGAGGCACCGCAACGGGAGGAGCGUGCGGUUUAAUUGGAUUCAACACCGUAAAACUCACCAGGGAAGACUGUUACAUGAAGGCCGAGAUGAAGACUCUGCUAGAUUUUCAGAGAGGAGGUGCAUGGCGUCAGUGACU
rnacentral:rRNA from 1 species